GCCGGGCAUAGUGGAGCACGCCUGUAAUCCCAGCAGCUCGGGAGGCUGAGGCAGGAGGAUCGCAAGUUCAAAGCUAAGCAACUCAGUGAGACCCUGUCUCUA
rnacentral:sRNA from 1 species